UACAGAGGGUGCAAGCGUUGUUCGGAAUUAUUGGGCGUAAAGCGCGUGUAGGCGGCUUUGAAAGUCAGAUGUGAAAUCCCCAGGCUCAACCUGGGAACUGCAUUUGAAACUCCCUUUCUUGAGUGCCGGAGAGGAAAGCGGAAUACCUGGUGUAGAGGUGAAAUUCGUAGAUAUCAGGUGGAACACCAGUGGCGAAGGCGGCUUUCUGGACCAGCACUGACACUGAGGCACGAAAGCGUGGGGAGCAAACAGG
rnacentral:rRNA from 1 species